rnacentral:rRNA from 1 species
UACAUGGGGUGCAAACGUUGCUCGGAAUUAUUGGGCGUAAAGCGCACGUAGGCGGUUCGUUAAGUCGGAUGUGAAAGCCCUCGGCUCAACUGAGGAAGUGCAUCCGAAACUGACGAGCUGGAGUAUGGAAGAGGGUCGCGGAAUUCCCGGUGUAGAGGUGAAAUUCGUAGAUAUCGGGAGGAACACCGGUGGCGAAGGCGGCGACCUGGGCCAAUACUGACGCUGAGGUGCGAAAGCGUGGGGAG